rnacentral:lncRNA from 1 species
GGUCCCAUCAACCCGGCCUCACUGCCUCCGGGCGACCCACAGCUCAUCGCUCUCAUCGUGGAGCAGCUCAAGAGCCGGGGCUUGUUUGACAGCCUCCGCCGGGACUGUCUGGCGGACGUGGACACCAAGCCAGCUUACCAAAACCUGAGGCAGAAAGUGGAUAAUUUUGUGUCAACACAAAAAAGCAGGAAUGGAAUCCUACAAUGAACAAAAACCAGCUGCGAAAUGGUCUGAGGCAGAGUGUGGUUCAGUCAGGGAUGUUGGAAGCUGGAGUGGACAGAAUCAUUUCUCAAGUGGUGGAUCCCAAACUAAACCACAUCUUCAGACCACAGAUAGAAAGAGCAAUUCACGAGUUCCUGGCGGCCAAGAAGAAGGAAGCUGUACCAGCGCCCCCCCCAGAGCCGGAGAGCCAGGACCCCCCCGCCCCCUCCCAGGAUGCUUCCUAAGAGUAUGUCUGGCGCCUUUUGGAAGCUCCUUUGAAUUAACCAUGAAGAAAUGGAUUUGGUUACUUAAGAGUACAACUUCAGAAUGAAGACAGGCCGAGGUCGCCACUGAUUUCAGCAUUCAGCCUUGACUGUGGGGCAGUGUCCAGAUGGGACAGGCAGUAGCAGAGCUGACCACGUGUGCCCCCUCACCGUGCUGCCAUCUGGUCAGCCCGCCGAAGGGGAUGACACCCGGUAGACACUACAGAGAUAUAAAGAAACACUACAUCAGUCUGGGGUUGUCCUGAAACAGACCUUUAUACUUGAACUUGAAGACUGUGGAUUUUAGGGUUUGUGUUCCGGGAUCCCUAGAGGGGCUGUAGCUACAGUGAAGGAACAUGACCAGUUCCAGAGAUGACAGUAAAGGUUAGCAUGGAGUAGGAAUUAGUGCUUAUUUGUCAACUAGGAUGUAUCAGCCAUCAGCACCACAUAGCUCUAAAGUUGUCAUGACCCUCUUGUACGUGAAUCUUGAAGCUUUGCUUUCCUUUCCUCUGUGAGAGGUGACAACACAUGGGACCCUAGAAUGUGUGAAGAAGUACAGACAUCAGGGAGAAGGAAAAACAUUUGCAGGCUCUCUGUCCAGGGCUGCUGCUGCUUAUCCUGCAAGGGCUAGUGAGUCUUGGGCGUGUUUAUUUUAUUCUCACGUUUGUGUUUUUUAGAAAAGUUGAAUGAUCAAUAAAUAGCUUAAGUUUUGUAAUAAAAUCA